rnacentral:rRNA from 1 species
CCUACGGGAGGCAGCAGUGAGGAAUAUUGGGCAAUGGACGAGAGUCUGAACCAGCCAAGUAGCGUGAAGGAUGACUGCCCUAUGGGUUGUAAACUUCUUUUAUAUGGGAAUAAAAUGUUCCACGUGUGGGCUUUUGUAUGUACCAUAUGAAUAAGGAUCGGCUAACUCCGUGCCAGCAGCCGCGGUAAUACGGAGGAUCCGAGCGUUAUCCGGAUUUAUUGGGUUUAAAGGGUGCGUAGGUGGGUUGUUAAGUCAGUUGUGAAAGUUUGCGGCUCAACCGUAAAAUUGCAGUUGAAACUGGCAGUCUUGAGUACAGUAGAGGUAGGCGGAAUUCGUGGUGUAGCGGUGAAAUGCUUAGAUAUCACGAAGAACUCCGAUUGCGAAGGCAGCUCACUGGACUGCAACUGACACUGAGGCUCGAAAGUGUGGGUAUCAAACAGGAUUAGAUACCCUUGUAGUC